rnacentral:lncRNA from 1 species
UAUCCUCUGUGUCUGAAACCGUAGGUGGAGCUGGGGGGCUGGGUGGAGUGGGUGCUGGUGCAUGUGCGUGAUGCCUUUUGUGCCUGUGCUUGUGCCUUCUCUUGUGUUUGGUGGGUGCUGGUGCAGGAGAUGGCACUGCUGGCGGAGGUGGCGGUGGUGAUGGGGGUGGUACAGGGGGUGCUGGUGCUGGUGCUGGUGGCACUUUUACAGGAGCUGGGGCAGGUGGCGCUUGGGCUGGUGACGGGGAUACUUGUGGUGGCGAAACAGGCGGUGGCAGCAGGGGUGGCAAAGCAACAGGUGGUGGAGGCAAUGCUGGUGGUUGUGCAGGAGUAGAGGUGGGAGGGCUCUGUGGCGGUUGAGGUGGUGGAAGCUGAGGGGCUGAAACUGGUGGGUUGGACACUGGUGCAACUUUUGGGGUUGGGGAUGCCGUCGGACUGGAAGUCGGUGGAGUUGGUGUCACGGGGAUGAUUGGUGCUGAACUUGCUGGUGGCAGCGUUGUGGAAGCCGGCGGUGCUAGCGGAAGAGUAGCAGGUGAGGCAGCCGGUGCUUGUGCAUAUGUGAUCACCAGUUGACAAGCGAGGAUGAUAGCUGAAAUUCGAUACCAAUGUACGAGGGCCAUUUUAUGGAGAUGGGUCCUGAAGGAGGGACUUGGUGGCUCUAUAUAUGCAAAUCACGAAAGAGGGGGACCUAAGAAGAUCGAAUGCACUCGGUGGAGGGAGAGAUGUCGCCCUCCUGCGAUGGGUACAUCGUUUCUAUGGUUCUUGUAGUGCAAUGAAGGAAUUUUAAAAUGAGGUUGUUUGGGGAAACAGUUGCGCCAUCUUGUCAGCCAACCUGUUAGCUCCUGGUGCAGGGGCCUCGCAUGAACUCCUACCUUUAAGAUUGGAGUAACAGGGGAAUGAGGCUUAGGUGCAGUUCUUAUGUGAUGGUGGUUCUAACGGUGUGUGUCUGGUUUUUUUUUUCUUGUCAUCGCUGGAAUAGGACUCUCUCUUGCGCAUUCACCAAAUGAUUAUUGAAUUGCUAGUGCCUUUAUGUUGGGUUGCAAGCA